rnacentral:snoRNA from 1 species
UAAAAGCAAGCGUGAUGAAUCAAUUAGAUGUUUGAGGUGGAUUUUCCAUUCCGAGUGUUAAAACUUUGAGGCAUUUAUAAUUUCUCUGACUUGGAAUUU